rnacentral:rRNA from 1 species
GGUUUUUAAUUAAUAAUUUAAAACAUUAAAAAUAAAACUAAAAGGACGCGGUAACCUUGACCGUGAUAAUGUAGCAUAAUCACUCGCCAUUUAAUUGAUGGAUAGUAUGAAUGGUUGAACGAAUAUUCCACUGUCUUAGAAGGAACUAAAAGAAAUUGAAAUAAUAGUUAAGAUGCUAUUUUAAACUGUAAGACGAAAAGACCCUAUAGAGCUUAACUAUAACCUCUUUUUUAACUAAAAAAAUUAUUUUUAAAAUUAGAGAGGUUGGUAGUUUAGUUGGGGCGACUGUCUUCUAAAAUUAACGAAGAUAAGCAAAAUUAAUAAAAAAUUUAUUGUAUAAUAAAAUUAUUUAACAAUUACUAUAGUAGGCUAUAUUGACCCGUUUUUACUGAGUAAUAAGAAAAACGAUCAAUUGAUAAAAGCUACCUUAGGGAUAACAGGAUAAUUUCAUUUUAGAGUCCAUAUCGAAAAUGAAGUUUGUCACCUCUAUGUUGAAUUAA